rnacentral:rRNA from 1 species
AUGCACGCUGGCGGCGUGCCUAAUACAUGCAAGUCGAGCGAACGGACGAGAAGCUUGCUUCUCUGAUGUUAGCGGCGGACGGGUGAGUAACACGUGGAUAACCUACCUAUAAGACUGGGAUAACUUCGGGAAACCGGAGCUAAUACCGGAUAAUAUUUUGAACCGCAUGGUUCAAAAGUGAAAGACGGUCUUGCUGUCACUUAUAGAUGGAUCCGCGCUGCAUUAGCUAGUGGUAAGGUAACGGCUUACCAAGGCAACGAUGCAUAGCCGACCUGAGAGGGUGAUCGGCCACACUGGAACUGAGACACGGUCCAGACUCCUACGGGAGGCAGCAGUAGGGAAUCUUCCGCAAUGGGCGAAAGCCUGACGGAGCAACGCCGCGUGAGUGAUGAAGGUCUUCGGAUCGUAAAACUCUGUUAUUAGGGAAGAACAUAUGUGUAAGUAACUGUGCACAUCUUGACGGUACCUAAUCAGAAAGCCACGGCUAACUACGUG